UGGGGAAUAUUGCACAAUGGGGGAAACCCUGAUGCAGCAACGCCGCGUGAGUGAUGACGGCCUUCGGGUUGUAAAGCUCUGUCUUCAGGGACGAUAAUGACGGUACCUGAGGAGGAAGCCACGGCUAACUACGUGCCAGCAGCCGCGGUAAUACGUAGGUGGCAAGCGUUGUCCGGAUUUACUGGGCGUAAAGGGAGCGUAGGCGGACUUUUAAGUGAGAUGUGAAAUACCCGGGCUCAACCUGGGUGCUGCAUUUCAAACUGGAAGUCUAGAGUGCAGGAGAGGAGAGUGGAAUUCCUGUUGUAGCGGUGAAAUGCGUAGAGAUUAGGAAGAACACCAGUGGCGAAGGCGACUCUCUGGACUGUAACUGACGCUGAGGCACGAAAGCGUGGGGAGCAAACA
rnacentral:rRNA from 1 species